GUAAAAGUAACAUGGUGAAUGGGCCGAAAAUUGUUUCUGUGAUGAUUUGUAAAUGUGUGGUAACAUAUUUUUUGCAUGGCAUCAAUGUUUGUUUGUUUGUGUAAUUCGGAAAAGUACAUAUUUUUAUGUCGGAAAUUGCGUUUGGUUUUUUGGUUAGGCAAACAUUUCGAAAACUACAAUUGAAGUUGUUUGUAUAUUUGAAUGUAGUCGUUUUUUUUUUUAA